UUCCAGAAAGUCAAAAUUUUUUCACCUAUUAGUUUUAUUUUACAAGAAUAACCAAUUUUUACGAGUAAUGAACACGUAUUGGAUUUGUUCCGAAUUUAUUCGCUAGGAUCUUUGUCAUCACUUUCACUUUAUACGUUAUAGCUUAUUAGUGGUUUGUGUGUGUUUAUUGCAUUAAAGUGCAAUCGCCAUGGAUGACACCAUGUCGACUCUAACGAAAAUGACCCGCACAGUUAAAAAACUAGAAGUUCCCAGGCCCCUGAAAUCAACUACAAGCUCUGCACUCAACCGAAAUUCGGUUUUAGAUGUAAAAAUAAAUUCUGUUGAUGAUCUAAUAGUAUUAACUGAGGCAGUUGCAUAUCAAAUGAUGCAGGGGAAUUUUGACAGAGUACUUCAAAGCAAUGUUUCAACUAUGUAUUCCAAUUUGAAAUUAUAUGGAGCUCAGCUUGAGUCCUUGUAUAAAGACUUUCUAGACCGCUACUUUGUUGUUUUCCGCAAUGGUUCUCAAGAUGAGCGACUUGACAAGAAAACUCGUCUUCAUUUGUUGGAAUUAAUAGAAUUGCGUGCCAAGCAAUGGCAAGGGUCAGAUUACAUGAGUCAAUAUUACAGACACCGUGGCACACAUGCAGAGCCACUAUUAGUGCCUACAAUGGAGGGUGCCGGUUCUGGUGGCUCGGUGUCUCCAACACUGGCUGCGCCUGCCGAGCCACAGACUUUGCUGGGUCCAGGUGAAGUUAUUAAGCCCUCAGGAAAGUUUCCCAAACCAACUAAGAUACCCGGAAAGAACUAUUCUAAAGAUGAAGUAGUCAUAAGAAAUGCUGAUUCUGGAAAAGUGAUGGGUAUCAAGGGCAGAAGGGUGCACAUGAUCGAAGAACUAAGUGAUACGAUUAUUUCGUUUCAGAGAGUGAGUCCGGGGGCAAAAGAACGUUUGGUGCAAAUUACGGGCCCAAAUGAAGAAAAUGUCAACCACGCCAAGCACUUGAUUGGAGACACCAUUCGCCGCAACGCGUCCCCGGUUCGGCUCGACGAUGCAAUGGAAGGAGGGCUUGGAACUUCCAGCGCCUCCCUGGACUCCAAUGGCUCUGAUGAGGCUAUUAGGCCUAGAGAGAAAUCACCACACAACAAUGCGAGAGCCUUACUUCAUAGUUUCUCCACUAACGACGCCGCGCUGGGAGAGUACAAGUAUACUGUUAUGUUUGGUCAACAUUCCAUUAAGAUCACUGGCAAUAAUUUGGAUCUUGUAAAGACGGCAAAAUUAGUGCUGGAUGAGUACUUCGAGAGCGCAGGCGCUCUAGAGGCUAUGGGUGCUGGCUCCGGCGACUUCUUCACUCUGUCGCAGCGACCGGCAGCCGCCUUGCUGCUGAGAGACGACGCAGCGCUCAACGGUGCUGACGACGACGAGGUGUUUACUAUGGCGGAGCAGCAGAACGCGGACGGGCGCGGGCUCGAUGACUCGCUGCCGCGCCGGCCUCGCUUCUCGCGCGCAACCUCCACCGACAAGCACCAGGGAGGCGCGCGGCAGUCGUACUCGUACGAGUCGCUGGUGCGGCUGGCCGACUCGCCGCUCAGCAAGCUGCCGCCGGCCGGGCUGGGCUCGUUCCCGCCGGAGCUGGCUCGCAAGCCGGAGCCGGACGUCGGGCCCAGCUAGCGGCGCGGCCGGCCCCUCCCAUCUCCUCGCGUCACACUCUCCGCUGGACCCGAGAACUGCGCACUCCAGUGCUUUACCCGCGCUUUCAAUAGAGACUCGCUCGAGGAGUGUUAUUAUUUGGCCAUUUCAUGUAGUAAAUGUUCCAAUAAUCACUCGGUAGUUUUGGGAUGCAGUUUUCUGGCUCCUAAAGAGGCAGCCUAGACUAACUUAUCCGCGAGCGAAGUGUGGCUCGAGCGAAUCUUUAUUCUUCUAAAACUGCUUAUAAUGUUGCACCAUCAUAAUAUCAAUAUUGCACGUUUAUUUAACGCAUGGGGUGUGCGAAUGUUCUUCCUAAUUUCUGAUCCUCUGAUUGAUGAUAAAUUCUAGUCGAACAGUACAAGUUAGAUUAGCCAAUAAUAAAAAUAUAUUAUACAAGAACUGAUUAUUUAGACGAGUAAGUUGGACUGCAGUAAGACUGGUAAAAUAUAAUUGAAUUAUAAAAUCCUCGUUGACUGAUGUUAAAAAUUUAAUGUAGAAUUGCUUUAUAUGACUGAUGUUGAUGUAUAAAACCUAAUUAUAAAUAAAUGACUGAAUGUAAAUUCUCGUGAAAUGUGAUUGAUUUUUUAUGCUAGUAUUAUUAGAUAUUGUAUUCUCUGUUGAUUGUUGAUAAAUUUUUACGCUUAGUAUUUAGAAAACGUUUACGAGUUUAGUAGACAGUAAUUAAGAUGGUGACUUUUACGCUGCUCAGAACGGGUGCGUGCGAGGCUGAGGAGGCCAAUGCAGACUUGCUUGGAGUUCGACAGCAGCAGCUAUCUGAAGAAAGUCCGAGCAGCAGCCGCCACCACCAUCGCGGUGGACGCACCUGACUCGCCCGAACCAGAAUAAAACACGACUACCACACACGCUUAUUACUUGUUAAAAUAUGGUGUAGGUCAAGCUUCCACGAAGCCCACGCGGGGUGAUUUAUAAAUGCAAAAAGUAUUCAAAUGACAAAACAUACAUUUUUUUUUCUAAUUACCCUCAUUUUCGUUGGACUCUUCUACUGAAUUUUGUCCAGAUGUUGAAAGUAAUAAGUGUGUGUGGUCUAUAAUCUAUCUUUAUGCACCUGCCCGCUUGUAUAAAAUCAAAUCGUACCUACUUGUACAAAGUACACAAUUUCACGUUACAAAUGGAACACAUUUGUCAACAGUGGAAUCGUUUGCGCCAACUUAUAAUUUCUUCUUUGCAAUCAGAUAAUACCUGUACUAUACUGUAUACACGAGAACGUUAGCAACUUAAAUUUUUGGUCAUUGACACAUUCAUUGUCAAUCACGUUAGAUGCGUUUUAACACUGUUUAUUAGCAUACAGGGCAAAAAGUUGAAAACGAAUACCUACAUAGUGAUUGAUAACAAUGUAUGACACUUUUCUUAGUCGUGUGUCAACUGUCACUGUCCGAACCGGGUUUUAUAUUAUCAUACGUAAACUGAACUGAAUGAAUGUUCUCAUUGCUGUUUAUUGACCAAUACCUACAAUUUUAAACAACUGGAUUAAAUGCGGCAAUAUAUAGAUUUUAGUCGAAGCUUAUUUUGGUGUAUUUUGUGGUAUGUUCCAUAUUUCGGCUUUUUUUUUAUACGACGUGAUUUAUCUAUAAUAUGUAUAGAAAGUCAUUGAGUAUGCAUUAUAAAGUAGCGUAGGGCAGGUGCUUCAAUCAUCACUUGUAAAGACCCGUCCGUCAUUAGACUAUUAAUAAUUGCUUUUAAUUAUUGUUUACUAAUUUAUCGCCUUAUUACCUUUCACUAAAAGUAUUAGCUCACCAAAUUAUUUUAUGUUGAUAUUACUUAUAAUCUAUGUAGUUUUAGUACGAAUCAACUAACGCAGUAAAUGCAGUAAACUGACUUUAUACAAUGUUUACAUAACCAUUGUCUACAAUACUUUGAAUUAAAAAAUAAGGUUUAGUACAUUAUGCUACCUUAAUGAAAAAAAAUAUAAAUGAUAAAGUGCCUUUCUGAUUUAAAAACAGAUUAUGAAGACGUUUGUCUAUUUGACAUAGACACAAAAGUUGGUAUAGAGUGAUUCCAUUUAUUUUAAGGAGGAUGCAUGCAUUUCUUAGUGUGUUUGUAAACUCAUACUGUAGUCUAGUCUUGUCGAGUAGAUUUCGAUAUCUCAUUUUAUUAAAGUAAGUCUCUAUAUUAUAUACUUGACUGUCUGGUCGGCGAAAAAGUAGACUAUUUGUUUAUUUAUUGUCAUUAUGGACGAAUAAAUUAUUUAUUUCUAUAUUUCGUGUACACAAAUCGCUCUCCAGAUUUUCUCGUAUUGUUUGUGUAUUGAAAAUAUGACGGUUAUAAUAUUGUAAAGACUGUUAAUUUUCCUGUAUAUAUUUAAAAGUCAAGAGCCUUAAUAUUUUUAAUAACAUUUGUAGCAUAUUACAUCUCAUAUUCAUACACUGGUUACUAAAGUUUUUUAAAUAUUUUUAGGGCGCAAAGCCCACUGUUAUGAAAUAAAUAUUUUAAUAAAAAAGGACACGAAGCACAUAUUUUAUGAUAAAAUACACUAUUAGUAUAUGUUUUAUUGUAUUGAAAAUAUAUAUUUACUUUGUGCUCACGGAAAAAGUAUUAUUUCGUUAUUUUUUGUUUUGUUUUAUAUUAAUAAACCACAACUGCUAUGUUGUUGAAAUUUAUGGUAAACUAAAUUUUUCAAUUAUCUAAA